ACAUUACACUAAAUCAUUGUGUAUCCCUCCGUGGUCCAUUCGAAAGUAGUGCCUAUUUCUAAAGAGUUCCUUUUCUCUUCUUGAAUAUAAGCCAUUUAACAAUGUGAGACAUGUCUUUUGUGGUUAUUUGUAAUAUCCUGUAUGUGUCUGGAGUACUUUGAUGCCUUGGAUUGGAAGCUAACUUAAAAGAUGAACUUUUGAGGGUGUGUUUUCUAUUGUGUGGGGCUUUUGUCGAAAUUAGGAUUCCGAAACGCGUUUUUCUACGGUGGGUUCAUUCGACAGCGAUUUACUUUCUUAGAAGUUGCGAGACGGUAUGUUUUUGAUUGCAAUUAUUGGAAGAUGAAAGAUCCAUCUUUAAAAUGAUACCAGGUUCGGAAAAAUUGAUACGUCGGAAAGGCAAGAAAAAUGCUGUGAAAGUUGUCAGUUUUAUAAUGGGACCCUAUGGGAAUCGGAAUUAGUGUAAUAUAACCUUUAAAAAGCACAUUUACUGCAAUGUCAAGGUCACACGGAUUCGUCUGCAAGCGAGACAAAUAGAAAAUGAAUUUUAAUGAAUGUUUUGAUGAUUUGGGUGCUAAAAUAGAUGAGAGAUGUCAAUAUUUUGGUCCAAAUGGAUGUUUUAGGUGGUUUUGGACUGUUCCGGAUGGGUGGGGGACCUAGUAUGGACAAGUAAGGGUAACAUUUCCAACAAAUCUUAAAUGUAAAUAUUAUUAUGUCCAUAGAUUGAAGUUUCAGGUGGAGAGCAAGAUGAAAAAUAUGCCAAAUUACAUGCAUGCAACCCAUUUAUGCCAUUUUUCUCUUUGUUUGUAGGCCUGACCGUUUGUCCUUGAGCCGUAGAUGGUCAACAAUCCGCUAGCUGUCUUGCUCUGACUGGUGCACUGGACAUGAUUUCAAUAGUCAGCCAGACCAUGACUGAGCUUAAGGAUUGUGCUGCGGAUGCAGCCUGUGCAGUUCCGGGAGAAAGUCACUGUCUUGGGCAAUGCGGUCUGGUAUCAGGUCUGGAUGAUCCUUGCCUGACUGCGGGUUUGUGUACACCUCAAUCCGACUCUGUGUCCUGAACAGAGGCCGCAGUGGUGCAGCGCUUGUGGACGAUCCAUCAACAUCCUGAAAGGUCAACACUACACCAAGCUGGGAAAAUUGAUCCUGAUAGUCAUCCCCAGGUAGUGGAAUGAAUGUACACUGAACUACAGAGGAAUCACACCCAAAUGACUUCCCUGCCACGACAUUAGUGUGGCCACUCGCGUGGGAAUUCCUUAGCAAACGUGCUCUUUUGCAUGGUGACUGUGGGCAUUUUUGCAAAACUUACGCUUUCAACACUGGAUUUUAACGGGAAUACUUAAUAAAAUGUCGCUAACAGGACUUAUUUAUAUGAGAGAGACUAUCUGGAUGCGCAUUAAGUGUCACUUUGUGUCUUAAGCUGUUGAAGGAGCGAUUUGCGCCUUUUUAAGUGUUAAUUUUGGGUAGCCGGCUUGUAUCGGCUUGAAAGCUGCAAAUUAUGCCUCUCAUCAUAAUAGCAUUAAUUUUUGUAAAUGCAAUGUGUAUGUUUAGAUUGUAAGUGAAGCUUUUAAUAAUAAUUUUCUUAAAAAACAUGAUUUUAUAUGCUGUCAGUGAGUUUUUUUAUUGAAAAAAGUGCUUAAAAUUUAAAAAAAGUCUCCUAUUUCAUCAAGAAAAGUACACUGAUUCACAAUCAAUACAUUUAUUUGGGCCUUUUGCUGAUAUAUUGGUGAAUUUUGCAUGCAUUGAUACCAGUUUUUGCCAUAAAAGUUACGCAUAACAAUAAUUGGAGACACAAAAUCAGCUGUCGUCACUUAGACUAAAAAUCAUGCAUUCCGACUUGACUGCGGCCAAUUUAGUCACCGCUUUAAAUGGCCAUUUUAAGGCCUUUACCCCCAUCCGAAUGCACUGAAAUUGCAUAUUCAUUGUGGAAAUAGUUGAAAUCUCAUGUGGAGAAAGUUUGAAAAAGAUAGGACAAAGUUGAGUUCCCUUAAAGGUUACAUUACACUAAAUCAUUGUGUAUCCCUCCGUGGUCCAUUCGAAAGUAGUGCCUAUUUCUAAAGAGUUCCUUUUCUCUUCUUGAAUAUAAGCCAUUUAACAAUGUGAGACAUGUCUUUUGUGGUUAUUUGUAAUAUCCUGUAUGUGUCUGGAGUACUUUGAUGCCUUGGAUUGGAAGCUAACUUAAAAGAUGAACUUUUGAGGGUGUGUUUUCUAUUGUGUGGGGCUUUUGUCGAAAUUAGGAUUCCGAAACGCGUUUUUCUACGGUGGGUUCAUUCGACAGCGAUUUACUUUCUUAGAAGUUGCGAGACGGUAUGUUUUUGAUUGCAAUUAUUGGAAGAUGAAAGAUCCAUCUUUAAAAUGAUACCAGGUUCGGAAAAAUUGAUACGUCGGAAAGGCAAGAAAAAUGCUGUGAAAGUUGUCAGUUUUAUAAUGGGACCCUAUGGGAAUCGGAAUUAGUGUAA